CAGAGGUCAAACUCCUAACUGCUACCCUAUAUUAUUUCACUUAAGACAAUAUUUUUAUUAGUUUUCCCCAGCUUUUUCAUUUUAUAGUUUUAAAAAAUGUUGAUGCUUGGAGUUCCUGCCAUGGCACUAUGUGUUUGGAGGUGUCUGGAGCACCAGGAUGCAGUUCGAGCCUGGUCUUCCAGCAAGAACAGUGGAUCGAGGAUCUGGCUCUGCCACAGCUGCCUUGUGGCUCAGACCUGAUCCCUGGCCUGGGACCUUCAUAUGCGGAGGAGCGGCCCAAAAAGAAGAAAAAAUGUUGCUUUUUAGUACUUACUAUUUUUCAAAGCUUCACUUGGAAGCAAAUACAUUAAAAAAAAAAUCAGUUUUUCUUCUUCACAAGUGAAUAGCUGAAAGAACCAAGAAAACAUUUUCAGGAAAACAUAGCUAAAGUAACUACAUCAAAUUAAAAUCUUUGUUAUGAUACUUGAAACGAAAUUUAAAACAUGUUAACAUUUGUUGAUUUGGGUAGUCUUACAUUUUCUGUACUGCUUCUGUGUUCUAAUGUGUGAUGGCAAAACACAAAUGUUUUUAAAAGAAUCAAUGUUUAAAAUAAUUUUUGAACCUCUGACUUAUUACCUGAAGCAAUAUUCAGUUUGAAUGACUUGGAACCCCAGUUGAAUCCUACAUGAUUGUGUUCAUCUUUGUGAUCCCCGAGAUGUAAAUUAUUCUGAAUUUCACCUUUCCUGAGUUAUUUUGGUAAUGUUAACUUAUACUACUGUAACAUGUUAAAUGAAAAUUCUUUUUUCUUCAUAAAACCAGCAAGGAAAAAUAAGCAACUCCAUCCAGUCCUCAGAUAUGUCAAAUAUCUUCUAUGUCGGAUAUGUGAAUACAAUUAUUCACAUUACCUAAGCCUGUCUUUAUUUUUAAAAGUCACAAAAAGCAGAUUCCCAGUCUGCCAGAAACUUUGACCAUUAAGGUGUUUUAGAGGUCUGACAAAUUUAUUUCCACACAAAAGUUAAAAAGAUAUAUUUAUUUCAUUUAACUCCUUCAUAAAUAAGAAUUUAGGUAGGAAAACUGUGGCUUAGAAAAUUGGCUAGCCCAAAGCCAGUCAACUGGUUAGUGGCAGAGUAAGUUACUGGACACUAAUUUUACAUUUUCUUCUACUUUAGUUUUUGUAUUUUCAAUAGCUGCCCAUAGCUUAAGGUGCUGACAUAGGUAGUUCUCAUCGUGGCUCAGUGGAAACAAAUCCGACUAGGAACCAUGAGGUUGAGGGUUCGAGCUCUGGCCUCUCUCAGUGGGUGAAGUAUCGGGUGUUGCCGUGAGCUGUGGUGUAGGGCACAGACACGGCUCAGAUCUGAUGUUGCUGUGGCGUUGGCUGGCAGCUGUAGCUCUGAUUGGACCCCUAGGCUGGGAACCUCCAUAUGCCUCGAGUGUGGCCCUAAAAAGCAAAAAAAAAAAAAAAAAAAGAUGCUGACAUAAAUCUCAUAGGUUGUUGCUUUGUAUUGAUGCUUGUAAUCUAUUUUAUUGGAACUCUUUAUCGAUGAGACUCUCCAGGGUUCACAUGAGUCUCUAUGAGAAAGGAUCACACUGAAUAGUUAAUAAUUUAUUAUUCAUGUGCUGGGACAGUAACCAGCAUGUUAGUGUUCUUUAAGUAUUUAAAUACAAAAUUUGGAAGAUGUAAACAUUAAAUCCAGCAAUUUCUGUUACUUUGUUCACUGUUAAUUCACCUCAGACAAGGCCACUUUUUAUGUUUAUAAAACGGGACAGUGUACAAUCUAGAUUCUAGAUAUUACAGAAUGAAUUAAUAUUUAUAAAGUAUUGUGAGGUAUCUAACAGGAUAUUUGAUACAUUUGGGAAAAUAUGUGGUAAUUUUUUCCACUUUUCUUAAUGGAAGAUUUUUCUUCCUUUAAAUUUUUUUUCUCUUACCACAACUUUAUACAUGUGGUAGAGAUUUGAUGUAGAACAUUGAAUACUUUUAACCUAACUUCAUUUCCUUGUUUUGUCCUGUCCCAGAUUUUCUAUAUCCCUUCAUGAGCUCACUCACCCAAUGUUUCCCUCUUGUUCCAAUAGAAUAUUAAUUUCUUAAGCAUUUUUACAUAUGACACUAUAUUCUCUAUGUCCCUGUAAUGAAAAGGAAUCACUAUACUAUUAGCUAUAAUUUGUUGAGCAUUUAUGUGUCAGAUGGGGAUUCUUACAACCUGUAAGAGCCAACACUUGGUGCUUCCUGUGUGACAGGCAUUGUUUUAAUUGCUUUAUAUAUAUUCACUUUAUCCUCAUAAUAAGUCUACAAAGUAGGUACCACUACUAAUACACCCAGUUUAGAAGAAAAACUGAAGAGAUUAAGUGACCUACCCAAAGUCACAAGUACUGUGAUAAAACCAAGCUAGGAAUCUGGGCCAAGCCUGUUCUUGAAUUGGAAAAAGUGAGUUUUCCAUCUGUAUUUUUCUCUUUUACUCGCACAGUAUUAACACUUCUGACUCCUUUCUGCCCUAUCAGCUGGGUGUCCUACACUUUUACUCAACUCUGACACCACCUGAAGAGAGCAUCUGAUCCCACAGGUUAAGGGCUGGGUCCCACAAGCCUGCCCCCACUCCACUUUAGAUGCCAGUCACAAGUCCAGAUUGCCAACUGUGCUUUUGACAGAUCCACUGUAAGUCUUAGGUUCCCACAACUCCCUCCUUGGGAUUAAUUUGCUAGAGUGGCUCACAGAACUCAGGGAAACACGUUUACAGUUUAUUAAAGGAUAUGAUAAAGAAUAUAGAUGAACAGCUGGAGAAGAGGUACACAGGGUGAAGUCUGGGAGGAUGCCCAGCACAGGAGCUUCUUGUCCCUAUGGGGUUGGCUCCAACACCCUCCCAGUACAAGGAUGUAUUCACUAUCCUGCAAGCUGCCCAGACCUCUUGGGAUUUUGUAGAGGCUUCCUCACAUGACUAAUUACUAAUUCCAUCUCCAGCUCCUCUGCCCUUUCUAGAGGAUUGGGGUCUGGGGCUGAAAAUUCCAAGCUUUUUCUUUUUUUUGCAUUUUAGGGCUGCACCUCUGGCAUAAUGAGUUCCCAGCUGUAGCUCUGGUUGGACCACUAGCCUGGAAACUUACACAUGCUGUGGGUGUGACGCUAAAAAGACAAUAAAAUAACAAAAUAAAACAUGGAUAAUAGAAUUUACUAUGAAAGAGGUGUUGUGAGUAAUAAUAAAUAAAAUGCUUACAAAAGUAACUUGGACUCAAUAUAAACUUUUAUCUCCAACCUACUUCUUUUGUUUAUAAGAAAACAAAAUAAUGUGGCAUGUGUGCUAGUCUGAGGCAGCAGCUGGUAAGCCAAAGGUUAAAAUGAAAGCUCAAAUUAAACUGGAUUGGGUCCAAAUCCUAAGCAUGUGUUCAUUAGAAAGUUAACCUCCCGGAAUUUUGGUGUUCUAUCAUUUCUGAUAGAACAGCCUCAUCUCACAAAGUUAUGGCAAGUGUUUUAGUAAAUAUUAACCAAUGACCAUCUCUGCAUUUCCAGCAGCUGGCACAAUGUUUAAUGAAUAAGCAGUGACAUAGUUAAGAUGUCCUUGGUUCUUUCCUUCACUAGUCCUCUCACUGUCUCCCCUGGCAUCAUCCUAAGACUUUUUAAGUUCACCAUCUUAUCAUCUUUCCCUACUGUAAAGACCAGAGUAACUGUAAAAAAAAAUAAAUUUGUUACCUCUUUCCCACUAGUAAUUAUAUUAGGUUUUCAGCAGUGUAAAAAGAGUGGAGUGUACAAAGAACCACUGCAAGUCACCAAAGGGGAAAUGGAAUUUUUAUCAUAUUUACCAUAUUAGGGAGUAUUAAAAAUAUUCACAAUUAACAUAAGUAAGGCAUAUCUCUAUUUUUAACCAAGUUCCUCUUCAUUCCUAAACUUUUACCAACAUAAAAUGUAUAAAAUUCUUAACAUUAAACCCUACUCUAGAAUUAUGCUUUAGGAGUUCCCGUUGUGGCACAGUGGCUAACGAAUCUGACUAGGAACCAUGAGGUUGCGGGUUCAGUUCCCUGGCCUUGCUCAGUGGAUUAAGGAUCCGGCGUUGCCCGUGAGCUGUGGUGUGGGCCGCAGACACGGCUCAGAUCCCGCGUUGCUGUGGCUCUGGUGUAGGCGGGAGGCUACAGCUCCCAUUAGACCCCUAGCCUGGGAACCUCCAUAUGCCGCGGGAGCUGCUCAAGAAAA
rnacentral:lncRNA from 1 species